rnacentral:rRNA from 1 species
GGUUUAGCCUGCCCGAUGAAGAUUUGAAUGGCCGCAGUAUUUUGACUGUGCUAAGGUAGCAUAAUCAUUAGUUUUUUAAUUAAAAGCUGGAAUGAAGGGUUGGAUGAAAAAUUAACUGUCUCUAAUUAAUUUUAUUAGAAUUUUAUUUUUAAGUUAAAAAGCUUAAAUUUAUUUAAAAGACGAGAAGACCCUAUAGAGUUUAAUAUAUUUAAUUUUGUAGAUAUUUAGAAUUUAUUUUUUAUAUUUAUAGUAUAUUUAAUUGGGGUGAUUAAAAAAUUUAAUAAACUUUUUUUAAAAAUUUAUAUUAAUUAAUAAAUA